ACCUUUUCCCGCUCCUUGGCUAAGACCUAAGGUGUAGUAUCUGUUAUUAGUUAAAACUAUAUGAUCCCCAUUUUGGGGCCUCGUAUUAAAAUGCUUCGGUAAUGGCAAAAUGCUGGGGGGUUUCUCCCCCUUUGCCCCGGAUCGUCCCCGGGAUUUCAAUAUCUCCGGGAUCGGUCCACUCACU